AGGACGAACGCUGGCGGCGUGCCUAACACAUGCAAGUCGAACGAGAAAGUGGAGCAAUCCAUGAGUAAAGUGGCGCACGGGUGAGUAACACGUGACUAACCUACCCUUGAGUGGGGGAUAACCUAGAGAAAUCUGGGCUAAUACCGCAUAAUACCUUCGGGUCAAAGGAGCAAUUCGCUUAAGGAGGGGGUCGCGGCCGAUUAGUUAGUUGGCGGGGUAAUGGCCCACCAAGACUAUGAUCGGUAUCCGGCCUGAGAGGGCGCACGGACACACUGGAACUGAAACACGGUCCAGACUCCUACGGGAGGCAGCAGUGGGGAAUUUGCGCAAUGGGGGAAACCCUGACGCAGCAACGCCGCGUGGAGGAUGAAGUCCCUUGGGACGUAAACUCCUUUCGAUCGGGACGAUUAUGGACGGUACCGGAAGAAGAACGCCCCGGCUAACUUCGCGCCAGCAGCCGC
rnacentral:rRNA from 1 species